rnacentral:rRNA from 1 species
UAACUAUAACGGUCCUAAGGUAGCGAAAUUCCUUGUCGGGCAAGUUCCGACCUGCACGAAUGGCAUAAUGAUGGCCACACUGUCUCCUCCUGAGACUCAGUGAAGUUGAAAUGUUUGUGAUGAUGCAAUCUCCCCGCGGCUAGACGGAAAGACCCCAUGAACCUUUACUGCAGCUUUGCAUUGGACUUUGAACCGAUCUGUGUAGGAUAGGUGGGAGGCAGUGAAGCUAGGACGCCAGUCUUAGCGGAGCCAACCUUGAAAUACCACCCUGAUUUGUUUGAGGUUCUAACCUAGGAGCGUAAUCCGCUUCGGGGACCGUGCAUGGUAGGCAGUUUGACUGGGGCGGUCUCCUCCUAAAGGGUAACGGAGGAGUGCGAAGGUACGCUAGGUACGGUCGGAAAUCGUGCUGAUAGUGCAAUGGCAAAAGCGUGCUUGACUGCGAGACCGACAAGUCGAGCAGAUACGAAAGUAGGUCAUAGUGAUCCGGUGGCUCUGCAUGGAAGGGCCAUCGCUCAACGGAUAAAAGGUACUCUGGGGAUAACAGGCUGAUACCGCCCAAGAGUUCAUAUCGACGGCGGUGUUUGGCACCUCGAUGUCGGCUCAUCUCAUCCUGGGGCUGUAGCCGGUCCCAAGGGUAUGGCUGUUCGCCAUUUAAAGAGGUACGUGAGCUGGGUUUAAAACGUCGUGAGACAGUUUGGUCCCUAUCUGCCGUGGGCGUUGGAAGAUUGACGGGGGCUGCUCCUAGUACGAGAGGACCGGAGUGGACUCACCUCUGGUGUACCGGUUGUCACGCCAGUGGCAUCGCCGGGUAGCUAUGUGGGGAAAGGAUAACCGCUGAAAGCAUCUAAGCGGGAAACCUGCCUGAAGAUAAGUCUUCCUGGAGGCUUUGACCUCCCUAAAGAGUCGUUCGAGACCAGGACGUUGAUAGGUUGGAUGUGCAAGCGCUGUGAGGCGUUGAGCUGACCAAUACUAAUUGCUCGUGAAGCUUGAUCCU